AAUUUUCAACGAUGGAUGUCUUGGCUCCCAUAACGAUGAAGAACGCAGCGAAAAUGCGAUAUGCAAUGUGAAUUGCAGAACUACGAAUCAUUUGAUCUUUGAACGCAAAUGGCACAGACCGAAUACGUCUGUAUACUUGUUUCAGUGUGC
rnacentral:rRNA from 1 species